rnacentral:misc_RNA from 1 species
GAUGAAGAACGCAGCGAAAUGCGAUAAGUAAUGUGAAUUGCAGAAUUCAGUGAAUCAUCGAAUCUUUGAACGCACAUUGCGCCCGCCAGUAUUCUGGCGGGCAUGCCUGUUCGAGCGUCAUUACAACCCUCAGGCCCCCGGGCCUGGCGUUGGGGAUCGGCGGAGCCCCCCGUGGGCACACGCCGUCCCCCAAAUGCAGUGGCGGUCCCGCCGCAGCUUCCAUCGCGUAGUAGCUAACACCUCGCGACUGGAGAGCGGCGAGGCCACGCCGUAAAACACCCAACUCUUCUGAAGUUGACCUCGAAUCAGGUAGGAAUACCCGCUGAACUUAAGCAUAUCAUAAGCGGAGGA